rnacentral:rRNA from 1 species
AUGCCCGAAGGGUGACGAAGCGACGCCGCGUGGGUGAGGAAGGCCCUCGGGUUGUAAAGCCCUGUCAGGAGUUAAGAAAUGUAGGUGUGCUAAUAUCACGCCUAUUUGACGAAGGCUCCAAAGGAAGUCACGGCUAACUCUGUGCCAGCAGCCGCGGUAAUACAGAGGUGGCAAGCGUUGUUCGGAAUUAUUGGGCGUAAAGAGCACGUAGGUGGGUUUGUAAGUCAGAUGUGAAAGCCUCCUGUUCAACGGGAGAAUUGCAUCUGAAACUACUGAUCUUGAGUGUAGGAGGGGAGAAUGGAACUUCUGGUGGAGCGGUGAAAUGCGUAGAUAUCAGAAGGAACGCCGGCGGCGAAAGCGAUUCUCUGGCCUAUUACUGACACUCAGUGUGCGAAAGCUAGGGGAGCAAACGGGAUUAGAUACCCCGGUAGUCCUAGCCGUAAACGAUGGGCACUAAGUAGAGGGGU